rnacentral:rRNA from 1 species
CGAACGGGUGAGUAACGCGUGAGGAACCUGCCUCAAAGAGGGGGACAACAGUUGGAAACGACUGCUAAUACCGCAUAAGCCCACGGCUCGGCAUCGAGCAGAGGGAAAAGGUGCAAUCCGCUUUGAGAUGGCCUCGCGUCCGAUUAGCUAGUUGGUGAGGUAACGGCCCACCAAGGCGACGAUCGGUAGCCGGACUGAGAGGUUGAACGGCCACAUUGGGACUGAGACACGGCCCAG